rnacentral:rRNA from 1 species
UACGUAGGGACCAAGCGUUGUUCGGAUUUACUGGGCGUAAAGAGCUCGUAGGUGGUUUGUCGCGUUGUUCGUGAAAUCUCACGGCUUAACUGUGAGCGUGCGGGCGAUACGGGCAGACUGGAGUACUGCAGGGGAGACUGGAAUUCCUGGUGUAGCGGUGAAAUGCGCAGAUAUCAGGAGGAACACCGGUGGCGAAGGCGGGAUCCUGGGCCAGUACUGACGCUGAGGAGCGAAAGCGUGGGGAGCAAACAGG